CAUGCAACCUGUGCCCCACGGACCCCUGAGACAGAUAGCUGGGCGUUCUGAACUUCCCCAAGGCUCCUUGCGUGGAGCACACACUCACCUGUGUGGUGGCCCGGCCGGGGGAGGGACAAGACAGAGAGUAGCUGCCUACCCAGAGGCCAAGCAAAGAUGCCACCAAGAUGUCCCCCAUAUAAUGCAAACAGGUACUGACUAUCCUUGUGCACUGGAACAGAGAAAAACGCACAACAGAGAUCUAUUACAGUAAACCAUUCUGCCUCUGGGUGAACUGAUGACCGAAUGGCAACUGGGUUGGGUACCACAGGAUAAACUGGGACUACCACAUAAUUUACAGUUCUCAGGUCCUGAACCAGGCGCCGCUCAUCUCUCCCAGGUUUCGUAACAGGAAAAAUGGGAUAUCGAGGUAACCUGUGGAGUUUCUUCUUGGGAUCAACAUUAUUUACCACUGGGCUGGAACUGCAUAUCAGUCCCCUGUCAUUGGAAUGCUCUGUCCAUAAGGUUUCUGGCACCUGAGACAGAAUAGACUGGGAGGCAGUGUCAGACCCCCACCUUUCCUACUUACACAUUGGUUCAAUACCUCAUCAUUUGGGAUGUCAACAAGAACUCCAUCAGGGGUACAAUCAAUUGUAGCAUUACGUUUAGUUAACAAGUCUCUACCUAGCAAGUUAAACAGUUGAGUGGGUGAAUACAGAAAAUCAUGUUCAACAUUCAUUGGUCCUAUUGAACAGGGCAUGGGUUUGUUUCAAAAUGGAUUACCAGGGUUUGAGGAAAUCCCAUAAGUGUUUAUAGUUUUAUUGGUUAGGGGUAGGUCAAAUCCAGUUCCUUUACCAAAAGUGGAUC